AACGACUGCUAAGACUGGAUAGGAAAUAAAAAGGCAUCUUUUUAUUUUUAAUAGACCUUUUUCGGAAGGUACGCUUAAAGAGGGGCUUGCGUCACAUUAGUUAGUUGGCAGGGUAAAGGCCUACCAAGACUAUGAUGUGUAGCUGGACUGAGAGGUUGAACAGCCACAUUGGGACUGAGACACGGCCCAAACUCCUACGGGAGGCGGCAGUGGGGAAUUUUCGGCAAUGGAGGAAACUCUGACCGAGCAACGCCGCGUGAACGAUGAAGUAUUUCGGUAUGUAAAGUUCUUUUAUUGAAGAAGAAAAGAUAGUGGAAAAACUAUCUUGACGAUAUUCAAUGAAUAAGCCCCGGCAAACUAUGUGCCAGCAGCCGCGGUAAUACAUAGGGGGCGAGCGUUAUCCGGAAUUAUUGGGCGUAAAGGGUGCGUAGGCGGUUUAAUAAGUCUAUAGUUUAAUUUCAGUGCUUAACACUGUCCUGCUAUAGAAACUAUUAGACUAGAGUGAGAUAGAGGCAAGUGGAAUUCCAUGUGUAGCGGUAAAAUGCGUAAAUAUAUGGAGGAACACCAGAGGCGUAGGCGGCUUGCUGGGUCUUUACUGACGCUGAGGCACGAAAAGCGUGGGGAGCAAACAGGAUUAGAUACCCUGGUAGUCCACGCCGUAACGAUGAGUACUAUGUGUCGGGAUUUACUCGGUACCGAAGUUAACACAUUAAGUACUCCGCCUGAGUAGUACGUACGCAAGUAUGAAACUUAAAGGAAUUGACGGGACUCCGCACAAGCGGUGGAUCAUGUUGUUUAAUUCGAAGAUACACGAAAAACCUUACCAGGUCUUGACAUACUCUGCAAAGCUAUAGCAAUAUAGUGGAGGUUAUCAGGGAUACAGGUGGUGCAUGGUUGUCGUCGGCUCGUGUCGUGAGAUGUUAGGUUAAGUCCUAAAACGAGCGCAACUCUUGUCAUUAGUUGCCAGCAUGUCAUGAUGGGCACUUUAAUGAGACUGCCAAUGAAAAAUUGGAGGAAGGUGAGGAUCACGUCAAAUCAUCAUGCCCCUUAUGAUCUGGGCUACAAACGUGAUACAAUGGCUGUUACAAAGAGUAGCUGAAACGCAAGUUUAUAGCCAAUCUCAUAAAAGCAGUCUCAGUUCGGAUUGAAGUCUGCAACUCGACUUCAUGAAGUUGGAAUCGCUAGUAAUCGCGAAUCAGCAUGUCGCGGUGAAUACGUUCACGGGGUUUGUACACACCGCCCUCA
rnacentral:rRNA from 1 species